rnacentral:misc_RNA from 1 species
UUUCCGUAGGUGAACCUGCGGAAGGAUCAUUACAGAGUUCAUGCCCUCACGGGUAGAUCUCCCACCCUUGAAUAUUUAUACCUUAGUUGCUUUGGCAGGCCGUGGGAACACCAUGGGCUCCGGCUUAUGCAUGCCUGCCAGAGGAAACAAACUCUGCUUUUAGUGAUGUCUGAGUACUAUAUAAUAGUUAAAGCUUUCAACAACGGAUCUCUUGGUUCUG